GUAGUGGAAGAUGACUAUGGCAGCAUGGAGUUGCUUGUAGCAGGAAACAUUAUUUCACUAGACCUGAGCGUAGCACGAGUUUAUGAGCUGGUUUGGAAGAAAUCAAAUCAGAGUCUUCUACUUGGCACUGUUAGCUUCAAAUGCAGCUCCAUUGUCCUCCCAUGACUGUGACAUGCAGACUUCAGAAGAUAAGAGAAGACCCAGAGAUUGAGUUUGCAAUAGCAGAGUUUGCGAGAUUGACUUCAAAUCCAACGAAGAAGAGGUGGCUGCAGUUCUUGAUCUUCUAAACCACUGCUGCAAGAUUAGAGAGAGCAGGCGAGCAGCUUUAAGCUUACUUGUUGAAACAGCUAGGAGGGCAUCUUCUGUGGAUGCUAUGGAGCCAGCCGAAGGGAUGGAGAGUUUUGACUCUUGAAGCAGACCAAGGAAGGUGACAUCAUCACCGCUGCACAAGGUGCUUCUUUGACUGUCAGUAACUGAGGAAACUGGAACUUGGGAACAGGCCAAGAAAAUAGUGCUUGUGUUCUUACCAUCCAUCGGGGCUUAACAAGUCAAAACAAACAGCAAAGAAACACUGGGAGAUGGUUGCUAGAAUCUUUGUCUUAACAUACGGUGAGCCGGCAGCGACUUACUGUUGAGAAUUCUGUGAGUGUCGGAAUCUUAGUCUACGCUUGGUUGUUUGUGUUUGCUACAAAUUGAAGCUAUAAACAAUGGAGUAUAGAUUCAGAGACGUGAUUGUACUUGAGUUUCAAGAUAUUUAGAUCAUAUAGAUUUUAUUAUGAUUUAAUAUUAUAGAUUGUGCAACCAGAUUUUAUUAUUGUAGCAUGUACUUAGAUCAUAUAAGACUAGGCCAUUAAACUAGUAAUCUAAAUGAUUCUACCUCUAGUCUUUUUCGCUUUGCCCACCCACCAAAACAUCACAAGUUAAUCAUAUUUUAACAUAGAUUCAUUCACACAAUAAAUUAACUAGAACCUAAGAAUGUAUCAAUA